rnacentral:rRNA from 1 species
GACGAACGCUGGCGGCGCGCUUAAAACAUGCAAGUCGAACGAGAAGCCCGGAGCUUGCUCCGGGUGGAAAGUGGCGAACGGGUGAGGAGCACGUGAGGAACCUGCCCCGAAGACCGGGACAACACCGGGAAACCGGUGCUAAUACCGGAUGCCCUCACCGGAUCGCAUGAUCCGGUGAGGAAAUGGAUUCCGCUUCGGGAUGGCCUCGCGGACUAUCAGCUUGUUGGUGGGGUAAUGGCUCACCAAGGCUACGACGGUUAGCUGGUCUGAGAGGAUGUCCAGCCACACUGGGACUGAGACACGGCCAGACUCCUACGGGAGCAGCAGUAGGGAAUAUUGGACAAUGGGCGAAAGCCUGAUCCAGCCAUGCCGCGUGGGU